rnacentral:sRNA from 1 species
UGUAAUAGCAGGUCAAGUGUGGAGGGAG